rnacentral:misc_RNA from 1 species
AAGUCGUAACAAGGUUUCCGUAGGUGAACCUGCGGGAGGAUCAUUAACAAGAAGAAUAUUGGUUUACUGAAUGUUAGUUGGGAUGGUGGUUGGGAGACUGACUGUCAUGCUUUCUGACAUUCUUUUAUAUCAAACACUAAUGUGAAUAGGAACUUGUGGCAAAACAAUGGAAGGAUAACAACCAUUUUUUAUUAAACUCUUUAAACCUCAAACAAAAGAUAAAAAACAAAAAUAAAAUCCAAUGUCACAAUUGGAAAUAAAAAAAAGUAACAAAAUGAACAACUUUUAACAAUGGAUAUCUUGGUUCUC